AAACUGAGCAAACUCCAUCCAGUGAUGAAGACUGUGAGCUGUGGAUCCAGAAAAAGCUGACCCUGAACGUCCCCGGUCGUCCGGUGAAGGACAGUCUGCAGGUUUUUGAGUGGAAAAUCAUCAUCGCCUCUGACGCUUGGUUGCGUUGCCGCCGGCAUCGUUACCACAGCAACAACCAUCCCAUCCAUUUUUCUGGGCCAAACAGGCUGGAUACACACACAGUGUGACUGCAGAUCAGGACAGCGCCAGCGCGCCGCAGCCUCACACCUGCAAAGGUCAAGUUUCCCAGAAAGACACCGCCUGAA